rnacentral:lncRNA from 1 species
CGUCUACCCCUCUGCAGAGCCGGGCAGCGCGGCUCCGCCCAGGGCAGCCGGAGCUGCGGCGCUGGGGACGGUGAGGUCUCCCUCUCCAGCUCUCGGCCUCUGCUCAGGGAGACACUAGCAGUGCUGGAGCUCCUGCUGGGGUCCUGUCCCCUGCCUUUCCACCCGCCGCUCCCUGGCCCCGGCUGUGGAGUGAAUCCCUACCGUGUGCCUGUCCUCGUGUGGCUCAUGUUCUUGUGGAGCAUGGAGGCGGGACAGAAAUACAAAAGUCAAAUGCAGUGCAGAUGUACUACUGUGUUUCAGACUUGACAGGCGCUGUGAAGAAAAAGAAAGAGGUGGAGUGGUACGAUUUUUAAAAUAACGUGGUCACAUGAGAGGGAUCCUGAGCUCAGGGCAGAAGGUGGUGAAGGACUGGGUUCUGCACCUUCAGGUCCCCAAACAGUGAAGAGGGGCCAGGCUGGAGCAGUGACAGGCAGGAAGUGACCAGGUGGGAAGUGAAGAAAGGAGGUGAGAGCUCGGGAGGCUGCGAAGCGCAGAUCAGCAGGCGAGGCCUUCAGGGCCCUGCAGAGCCAGCCUUGAGGAGACAGGAAGAUGGGCUUCCUGCUGUUUGACCAGAAUUUCAGCAGCUUGAGUUCUCUGAUUCCUCCUAUACCCCUUUGACAUGUGCUUCGCUUUCCUUCUCUCCCAGAUCCGGGAAUAAUAACUGCUGGGUGGUACCAAACUAAGGAUCAUGGGAGGAAUCUUAA